AAAAAAGUAUUCCCCCCAUUAUAUUUAACUCUACCUCAAAACGUUUUGCAUCCAAUUAAAAUGCUCUGCUAGUUGCCCUAAAAGAUUAAACCCUAGUUUCUCUCCUUCUGAUUUCCACCCAAAAAUUCUCCAUUAUAAUCUUAAAGAUUUUUGGUUGAGAUUUCCUUAAUAGUCUCACCUAUAUGGGAGAGACUAGAGAAACAAUUCAAUGAAUUUCAGAUUUGAAGGAAUCGAAGAAUCUAGCUGCUGUAGCGAUUUGGAGGAACGGGAGAAUCCCAGAUUUAGUAACUUGGCUCAUAAGAGUCAUUAAUGACAAGUGUAUUGCAUUGUUUUUUAUCCCAGGUAGUCUUUGCUGUAGAUAGAAAGGAGAAAAUAUCUAAUCAGUUGAAUUUUCUGUAUUCACAGUGACAAUGAACUACAAAUGAUUUGAUGACUUGGCCAACAUUUUAACCACAACUUUCCUCUCUUCUUGAAAAGAUCAAAUUUCUUAGAAAAGCGUCAUUUUAAUUAAUAUACUGAGAGAUGCAUCAGCUGAGGUAACUGAUUUUGUCCAUUUAAAUGAUUUCAAAAUUUCUGCAAGUUUUGCUUUAUUAAACGGGUUGCAUAUGAGGUAACUCAUUUUGUCCUGGAUAUAACUUUAUCUUGAUGUCUAAUCUGUAUGGAGUGAUAUUUUUCUUAAUAAAAAUGAUUGUUUUUGCAAUUGCAAGUUUUACUAUCUAGUUUAUUAUACACACUGACAUGCACACAUAUAUGCAUGUAUUUGUUUCUUCCUUGGUGUGGAGGGUCGGGGUGUGUCUGAAUAAACAAUCCCGUAUCUGCGCUUGAGUGUGAAACACUAGUAGACAGGCAAAAGACACUUUCUUUUUUGUUUCUAUUGCUUACCGCCAAUGACUCCCCUCUUUUAUGUUUCAAGGCGUUUCCUUUCUGACACAAUUGUUUUUUCCAUCUUAUGAGCUACAGGUAGAAGACCUCUGAAGGUUAUUUCCUUUAAGUGCUAGUUUACCGCCACCUUUUAUUGAAUGUGAUCGUCCAUUGAAAAAGAAGUAUUCAAUUUUAAAAGAGUGUAACGAGAGUCUUAAUUCGGACACUGCAUGUAUUGAUCAAGCUUUAGGCAUAACUUUUUCGUGCUGAAAUUGAUCAAUCUUAGCCAUUAGUGUUGAUGCCCCUGAAUCAGAGCAACUUUAAUCAGAUUCACUUGUUUCCAGUUCGUGCAUCAUUAGGCUAUUAGAGUGGACUGUCUUCAGUUGAUUUCCACUACCAGAUUGGCCAAUGGUGAAGGACUUAAGAGAGAAGGAUCAAACAACAGAAGUUCUUUGGUCACUGAUUAGGAAUGAUUUGCGAGCCAAUGGCACCUUCGACCGAUAUGCAGUAGUAUGGGUCUCUGUUGUUGUUGCUGCUAAUGAGGUUUAUUUGGUCAGCUCUAGUGUGUCAAAAAGUGAUAGGAACGGAGACAAGUUAAGCUCUGGUUCUUAAGCAAAUGCUCCAAGUUUGAAUUCUACUGGUUCCACAAUAACAAGUACUAUACAGAUGCUUAGGGAUUUUUUCAGUGGACAUUAAUGACAAGAGAGAGUUUCAUUUAAUGGUUGGUUCCGGUUCAAGUGAAAAUAAUCAAACUUCCUCUUCUAAAUCGUUAUUAGCAUCUACCUGUAGUUUUUCAAAAGAUAUUUUUUUGCUAAUUCAUAUAUGGUUUAAAAUAGUUUUAUUUAAUAUGUAACUAACUUUAUGCAUCUUACAUUUUCUUUGAGAACUAGUAUGGUGUCACUAGAUCAUUGAUUAACAAAGAUCAGAAGCUAAAGAGAUCCUUUUUGGAUAUUCAUAGGUAAUAGAAAGUUCCGCUAGUUAAGUGUACUUGGUGCAGAAUCACGAAAGAUGCAACACCUUGCACGUGAGAAUGUACAGAAGGUUCUAAUGGAGCAAGAAAUGUUAUGCUUAGAGCUUGAGAGCAAGAAGAAGAAGCUUGAUUCUUGGGGCAGAGAAUUGUAUAAACGUGAAGCUUUAACUGAGCGAGAAAAGCAAAAUUUUGAUGAGGAGAAGAAACAGCUAGAGGAGUUGUCUUUCUUCUUGAUCGAGUUUUGUCUUGUGGAAUAUGAAAUGUUGAAACAUUUGAAUUGGGCAAAGGAGGGUCAACUGCAGUUAUUGCAAUGCUCAUAAGUAGUCAAAUAUUUAUAGUAGAACAUGUGGGAGAUUCUCGAGUUGUUUUAUCCAAGAAAGGUAUUGCCAAGCAGCUAUCAGUUGGUCAUAAGCCAUACAGGGAAAGGAGAUAAUUGAAAGCAAAUGUGUACUUGUUUCAAACAUUCCAGAUUCAAGCAGAAGCUAUACAAGGGUUGCAAUUUUGCCAUCAUAAGGUUGAAGGCACUGGUGGCAAUUCUUAAGGUUCAACCAAGACUAUUUAUUUGAAGCAAGAAGAUCAUAACUAAAUGAGGAAAAAAUUCUAAGUUAUAGUCGAGUCAAAAUCUUGAGUUAAAUCUGAACUUUUUAUUUUUUUUAUGAUCUUAUUUUAUCACCAUUUCUAAUCAACGUAAAGUGAUAUUCAUCCAUAGGUUCAUUCACAAUCUUCUAUUCUCCAUUUGACUCCAACAAGGAUGUUAGAGUUCUGAUCCCAAUUUAGCAAGUUUUUCCUUGAAUAUUUUCUACUGUACUUUGGGGCUUCCACUUAAUCUAUAGUUUCCAAAUUAUUAACUUCUAUUUUGUGGUAAAAGUAAGCUACUUUAUCUCUUAAACUUGAAAGAUUAUCAGUUUUUACAAGUUGUAUAACUAUUGUGUUAUCUUCAAUGCCAGGAUAAUGGUUGCUGCUGCAUUAUUACUUGUUUGCCUAUUGCAGGUUGAAGGCACUGGUGACUAUUCUUAAGGUUCGACCACAACUAUACAUUGCCAUAUGGAAGAAGAAUCCCAUAAAGAAAUCUCUUUUGCAUUUUUACAUGGAUCCAAGUAAUUUGUAGGAAAACGCCGAUAAUUGAAUUUGAAUUGUGUCCAAAAGUCCAAAAGUAAACUCGAUCUAUUGUAGUGAACGACGAAGAGUUUUUGUACUAUUGUCAUAUGUAUUUGAAUGCAUUUGGUUUUGUGGAAUUUAUUGAUACUAGUUGUACGAAACAUGUUUCUCGAAGUUUAUCUGAAAUAUAUUUCUUCAA